rnacentral:rRNA from 1 species
GGAUGUGAUCAUACCAGCACUAAAGCACCGGAUCCCAUCAGAACUUCGAAGUUAAGCGUGCUUGGGCGAGAGUAGUACUAGGAUGGGUGACCUCUUGGGAAGUUCUCGUGUUGCAUUCC